rnacentral:rRNA from 1 species
GACGAACGCUGGCGGCGUGCUUAACACAUGCAAGUCGAACGGUAAGGCCCUUCGGGGUACACGAGUGGCGAACGGGUGAGUAACACGUGGGUGAUCUGCCCUGCACUUCGGGAUAAGCCUGGGGAACUGGGUCUAAUACCGGAUAGGACCACUGCCUGCAUGGGUGGUGGUGGAAAGCUUUUGCGGUGUGGGUUGGGCCCGCGGCCUAUCAGCUUGUCGGUGGGGGGAUGGCCUACCAAGGCGGCGACGGGUAGCCGGCCUGAGAGGGUGACCGGCCACACUGGGGCUGAGAUACGGCCCAGACUCCUACGGGAGGCAGCAGUGGGGAAUAUUGCACAAUGGGCGCAAGCCUGAUGCAGCGACGCCGCGUGAGGGAUGACGGCCUUCGGGUUGUAAACCUCUUUCAGCACCGACGAAGCGCAGGUGACGGUAGGUGCAGAAGAAGGACCGGCCAACUACGUGCCAGCAGCCGCCGCAG